UAGAUCUAGGUCUCUAACUUAUAUAACCUAUAAAUAGGCUUAUUACUAUUUACUAUAUAUAGAAUCUAGAUCUACACUAAGUUCUAAUAAGAGUCAGCGUCGUAGCCUCAUUUAAUGAAUUUUUGAAUUGGUAAUUUUUAAUUAGACAUUUGUGUUUAGGCCUAAAGAUGUGUAGGCCUAUAUGUCUUUAUUUCUUACAUUAAGUUAUUUAAGAUCUAGAUUUAGAUGGCGGGGAGUAGGCCUGAUUCCAAUAAAACUUCUACAUCUAAAAAAAAUACAGUAUAUUUUGAAGCUUGUGCAGUGAAAGAAGUUGUAAGCAUUGAGGUCUACAUAAAUGAGGAAUCCACAUCUCAUCCUUGUCCAUUCUCGCUAAUAGAAGCUGAAAAUGUAGAAUUGUUUGCUUCUGAUCUGAAGAGCUUAAUUUUAUCAGAACUUCACAAAUUUCUUCCCACUGAAGAUGGACAAAAAUAUGUCUUAUAUGGGGUAAACCAAACUGGUAAUACAAGUAUCAUAGCAGAUGAUACACUUUUGAAAUCAAUUAUUUCAACAUACAUUUUGGAUGGCAGCUUUAGAAUUAAACAAGUAUAACUCUACUUACAGUAGCUUUAGGGUUACCAGAUUUCUACAUGGCCAGAGGAGGACAAAAUGUUAAAAAAAAACUUAAAAAUUAAGAAGAAAAAAAAAGGAAAAAGAAACUUUAAAAUCUCAUUGUUUUUACAAUGUAUCUGAUGAAGCCUGUCCGUAAAUCAUAGGCUGUAAACUUUGUCUUAUAUGAAGCGACUUUUUGCUUUUGCAAUAGUUCAACACCAGUCCGAAUGUUUUGAGCCCCAUGCAUAACAUUUUCUUCAAAUAGUACUGAAUUUUGUUAAAAGUAUGUUUUGCACUGAGUCUGUUUUAUCUCCUAUACACUGAGCAUUGGCUACAAGGACGUGUGAUAUGCCUAUGGACUGUCAUACAAUGGUCAUGGUGGUUCUGAGUUUGUCCCUCCCAUCCACCUGCAGGAAGUUUGGGCCAGGAUAUAAGUAUCUUCAAAUCCGAAGGAACAUCCAAAACAUGUAAAACAAACACCAAAAAUAGUCUUUCCGUGUCAGUAUAAUGGUGGGAAAUGCAGUAAUAAAAUAGAACAUCCUGUGGAGCUCUGAGUAAUAAGUUUCAUUAGUAACAACCGUGAAUAAACAAUUACAAGUUAGUAAUAGAACUUGUACUAUUUAUAAGUGUAUUUGAAACUAAGAUUUGAAGGAAUUUGAUUCAUUGAUAAAUGGCAUCCCUAUAAACGAAAGAAUGAAAGACAGAAAUAUUCACAUUUCAGACCAGUACUUUCUGGGUGAAGGAUACAACUCCAAAAAAGACAUAUCCUCCUUUUGCCUGUCGUCUGGUAACCCUGACUAGCUCUAAAGACUUAUAAUCUGUCUUUGAGUCAAGAAGACAAAAUUGUAUUAUCAUGCUUGCAAUAAUUGUUAUUGUUUCUUUAGUUUAGGAAAACUCCCAAAAAUCUAAUUUUUAAACUAGAUGUUUUUAUUGAAGAAACUAAAAAAAAAAUACAUUUAUAUAAUUGGUUGCCUUCAGUCUUAAAUCAAUGUGACUUAUGUUGUAGACCAUUUUUCCUAGUGGCUUAAGUACCCUAAUUUGGAGAGUCUUGCAAAUGUUUAUAAUGCCUUUAAAUGCAUAUAUAUUCAGUAAAAUCACGCCAAAAUAAUGUCACUAUCCUGAAGUGCUACUGUAAUCAGGAUGAAAUUUAAAGGCUUUUUUUGUUUGAUUCAAGAGAUGAAAGGAAAUUUUAAAAAAAUCUGAAACUUGUUGAAAAUUGAUUGAACUAAAUAAGGGAAAAAACAAAACAUUAAAAUUUAUAAUUGUUCUUUUAACUUACAGUUUAAGCUGAUCACAAAAUAAUUCAUUUGUUUCAAGAUACAACUAUUCUCAGAUAAUUAAUGGAUGGCUGGUAUGCACUCUUGAUUUUCACCUCUCAAUAGUUCAAACCUUGCCCACUGCCAUCCCAUUUCAUCCUGUAAGAAUCUUCAAUUCUGAAGAAACAUCAAAUUAAUUUAUUAAUUGGGUUGGAUUGAACAUUUUGUUUAGUGUAAAAUCAAAAAAGAUUUUAACUGUUUAGAUUUUCACGAAAUAAAAUGGAGAAGCAGGUUCUUCUCAAAAGUUAGAGGUGGCUGAGUGGUAAAACACUUGGCUUCUGAAUAGAGCUGUUACAAGUUUGAAUCCUGGUGAAGAUUGGGAUCUUGAAUGUCAAGAUUUUUAGGACGAGCCUUUAAUGUUGUACAAAAAGUUUAAAGGUAUAUGUUUGUUGAGCUGGCCACAUGUUAAGACUCUUGAUAUAAAGGCCAUUGAUACUGUUGAGCUGUUCAUCAUCUGUUCCCAAGACUUAAAGAUCUGAACUUUUUUUUCUUCUUUUUACUUGUUCAACUUUAGUCAAGACAAAGGAAUCAAUCUCUAUAGUACUACUAGGUUUGUGACUUUAGAUGGAGUAAUUUCCAAAAUAUUAUAAUUCAUUAAUUCACAUAUAUUGUCUCUUCUAUAGUUUUAAAUUAAAGGUACAAGUUUUAUUUCAAGUUCAGGCUGAAGUUUUGUUUUAUUUUCUAUCAGCAUAUUUGUUUCUUUUGAAAAAUGUUUGUGCUAUGUAAUUGGUGUGUGUUUAGUCUUCCUUAAGCUCCAUGCAAUUUUAAAUUCUGUGUAUUUUUUGUUACUAGAAAACCAUUAAGAUAUUUAUGUUUCACACCACAUUUGGUAAUACAUUUUAUAAUAAAUUAAAUCUGAUGGUUUUUUUUAAAACUAUGACACAUGUUAUUUGCUUUUAAAGGCAUACCCAGUAUAUUUUUUUUUAUGCUUUUGUAACUCUAGAAUUAUAUACAAAUUAUACAUUGAAAGAUUUCUAUUUGUUAUUGUGAAAACUUAUUGACUAUUUAUUUUAGGUAAUGAAAUUAAAGUAAUGGAUUUUUUAAACCACAGUUUCAAAGAGCCAGAAGAAGCCAACAAAAAAACUUGUGCAGUAGAAACAUGUUGAUACACUGUGAUAGAUAUUUGUUUUUUGUAUCAUUUUACACACAGACUUUAAAAUGGCUGCAAGAUUGUAUACAUAUUUUCAUCGAUCUUCCUUUAUUAAUAUAUCUACUUACGUGCAUAUUUCUUAAUUAGUCUAUUUGAUUUAUUACUUUUAUAGUUAAUUCAUGAUAACAAAUAGGUCUUUCAUUGAAAUAUUUUUUUUUUGUUUGACUACAUUUUCUAACAUUGCUUGGCUACAAUUAUUUUUAAGGUUUUACUUACUGAUGAAUUAUUAAAUAUAGCCAAUCAGAAGGAGAUGUUUUAUGUUCAUUUUGCCUAGUUGUGAUUUUUUAAAAUAGUUUUAGCUCAAUCUAAAUAUUUAUAAAUUAUACUUUUAUGGGCUCUAUAAAAAAAAGAAAAAUGAAUUACUAGAAUUAUAUUAAAUGUAAGUGACAAAACUGUUAAACAUAACAAUUGAAAACAAAAGUAUAUCAUAUUAGACAAAAACAAUAACAUCCAAUGAAAUAUAUUAACCAUUGAAGACUGUUUUUUUUUCCUUCUUAAUUUUAAAUUUAUUUAAAAAAAGAAUAGUAAUUGAAUACUUUGCUUGACAUUAAAGUCAAUAAACCACCAUGCUGUAUAAAUGGAGAGGUAACACUUUGAUGCUAGUCUUAACCCAUAAGCACUUUAAACUAUAGAUUUACUUAUAUCUCAAGAAGUCUACUGUAUGCAUUUAGUGGAAGGUACUUUAAAGCUGUCAUUGGUGGAAGUGUUAAUGGAAAUAAGCACUCCACUGCCUAUAAAAUGCUUCCAAUGGCAUGUAUCUCAAACAGCCUCUGACAACCAGUCCAGCUUCUGGCUUUCACAUGUCCACUAACAGAGAAAAGGGCAAAGGUGAGUAGCUGGGGCCUAAACCAAUAACAUUCAAGCAGGAGGGACUCGCUAGCUUGGCUGGCUACCCACCUAGGAGAAGGAAAACUCAGGUAUUCAAAACUCUGCUGCAUUGCAGCUAUAUCCAAUCAUGGGAAAGGCUUUGGGAGUCAACCCUGAGGACAAACCAGGAGACGGUGACCGUUAGACAGCUUGCAGCACAUAGUGCUACACCUUGGCAGAGCCUGUGAUGCCCCUGGUCCUGAACUGUAUAGGCACUGUCAUUCUUUGGAAAGAUCAUCUGUGAAGAGUGAGACGAAACUGCUCUGUGAGUGACAUCAUUCCGAGUAUAGCUAAUGCCCAGGCAUUAAUCAUAUUACCAUGAGAUGAUCUAUAGUUGUUUCACUCGAAAAGAACCAUGCAUACAGAAUGUUCCUUUUUAAGAGACAUCCAGAAACACAAUAAAAGAGACCCACCCAUUUUAUCUGCUUUGCUACACAAUGCUGAUCUUUUCAAAUACCUAAAGGGCACUCAACAAAAUCUUACAACAGAACUUGAACAUCAAGAAUCACUUCUGAUUUAAUCUUGUACAAAUGUAAGAGAUAAAGAAAUAAGAAAAAAGUGGGAUGAUUGCAUUUAUGUGGCAAUGAAAAUCAAGAUGUGAUGAUGAGAUGAGUUAAAGUCUUUUUUUUUCUAAUCAGGUUUUUCAAAGUCAUCCUCAUAUUCGUUUUAAAGAGUUAACAGUACAACUCAGUGUGACUGAGCAGAAAACAAGCUACUGUGAAAGCUGUGGGACCCUUAAAGAAACCAGCCAUCCCACAUAUACUUUAGAGUAGCAUCUCUUUGAUACAGCAUAAAUUAUGUAACAUAUAAAUAUAUGUGUGAAUUAUUUGAUUAGUCUACAUCUAUACAGCUAAACUUCUUCCACAGCUAGUUAGUGUAGUCAUUUCUUAUGGUGUUAUUUCCCUUAGAAUGAUUAUCGGAAAUCCUCUCCAUAUGUACAGCUUCUUAUUCUUUCAUAGCUCCACCAUUUGGAAAAAAAAAGUUCAAAAAUACAGAAGCCCAGAAAUGCAUGCAUAACAUAAACCUAUAUGUGUGUAUAUAGAAUCAACUCAAAAGUAAUGCUAAGAAAUAAAUAAAACAAAAAAAUAUAUUUUGAAACACAAGAAAAUGUAAAAUAAAGGGAUGUGAAUCACAGAUCAUCAAAAAAGAAAAAUCUCAUUAAAAAAAUAAAAACAGUUUCACAUAUAAGCCUAAGUGAUCGAUUAUACGACUGUUUCUAAGCCUGAGCUUUUAACAUACUGGUUGGGUGUAAUUGAAAAUAAACUAGUGAAUAUUUUUU